CGCAGCCGCGGUAAUUCCAGCUCCAAUAGCGUAUAUUAAAGUUGUUGCAGUUAAAAAGCUCGUGGUUGAAUUUCGGGAUCAAAUUGUCGGUCGUGCCUCGGUACGAACUGGUAUUAUUGGUUCCUACCUUCUGAAGAACCGCGAUGUCAUUAAUUUGGUGUCGUGGGGAAUCAGGACUGUUACUUUGAAAAAAUUAGAGUGUUUAAAGCAGGCUUACGCUUGAAUACAUUAGCAUGGAAUAAUGAAAUAGGACGUUUGAUUCUAUUUUGUUGGUUUCUAGGAUUGACGUAAUGAUUAAUAGGGAUAGUUGGGGGCAUUAGUAUUCAAUUGUCAGAGGUGAAAUUCUUGGAUUUAUUGAAGACUAACUACUGCGAAAGCAUUUGCCAAGGAUGUUUUCAUUAAUCAAGAACGAAAGUUAGGGGUAUCGAAGACGAUCAGAUACCGUCGUAGUCUUAACCAUAAACUAUGCCGACUAGGGAUCGGAUGAUGUUAACUUUUAAUGACUCAUUCGGCGCCUUACG
rnacentral:rRNA from 1 species